GCGGCGGAUGGGUGAGUAUCACGUGGGCAACCUGCCUGUAAGAUUGGGAUAACUCGCGGAAACGUGAGCUAAUACCGAAUGAAGUCUUUCACCGCCUGGUGAAAGGAUGAAAGAUGGCUCUUGAGCUAUCACUUACAGAUGGGCCCGCGGCGCAUUAGCUAGUUGGUGGGGUAAAGGCCUACCAAGGCGACGAUGCGUAGCCGACCUGAGAGGGUGAUCGGCCACACUGGGACUGAGACACGGCCCAGACUCCUACGGGAGGCAGCAGUAGGGAAUCUUCCGCAAUGGACGAAAGUCUGACGGAGCAACGCCGCGUGAGUGAUGAAGGUCUUCGGAUCGUAAAACUCUGUUGUCAGGGAAGAACAAGUUGUGUUCUAACAGGACAUGACCUUGACGGUACCUGACCAGAAAGCCCCGGCUAACUACGUGCCAGCAGCCGCGGUAAUACGUAGGGGGCAAGCGUUGUCCGGAAUUAUUGGGCGUAAAGCGCGCGCAGGCGGUCCUUUAAGUCUGAUGUGAAAGCCCACG
rnacentral:rRNA from 1 species